CCAAUAGCGUAUAUUAAAGUUGCUGCAGUUAAAAAGCCCGUAGUUGAAUUUCGGGACCAAUAUGUCGGUCGUGCCUCGGUACGUACUGGCAUCAUUGGUUUCUCCCUUCUGAAGAACCAUGAUGUCAUUUAUUUGGUGUCGUGGGGAAUCAGGACUGUUACUUUGAAAAAAUUAGUGUGUUUAAAGCAGGCUCACGCUUGAAUACAUUAGCAUGGAAUAAUGAAAUAGGCCGUUUGAUUCUAUUUUGUUGGUUUCUAGGAUCGACGUAAUGAUUAAUAGGGAUUGUUGGGGGCAUUAGUAUUCAAUUGUCAGAGGUGAAAUUCUUGGAUUUAUUGAAGACUAACUACUGUGAAAGCAUUUGCCAAGGAUGUUUUCAUUAAUCAAGAACGAAAGCUAGGGGAUCGAAGACGAUCAGAUACCGUCGUAGUCUUAACCAUAAACUAUGCCGACUAGGGAUCGGGUGAUGUUAAUUUUUUAAUGACUCAUUCGGCGCCUUACG
rnacentral:rRNA from 1 species